UUGCUGUCUUCAGCAGCAUAUAUACUAAAAUUGGAACAAUAUAGAAAAGAUUGGCAUAGCCCCUGUGCAAGAAUGAUAUCCAAAUUCAUGAAGCAUUCUAUAUUUUU
rnacentral:snRNA from 1 species